rnacentral:rRNA from 1 species
UACGAAGGGGGGCUAGCGUUGCUCGGAAUCACUGGGGCGUAAAGGGCGCGUAGGCGGAUCUUUAAGUCGGGGGUGAAAGCCCAGGGCUCAACCCCUGGAAUUGCCUUCGAUACUGAAGAUCUCGAGACCGGAAGAGGUAAGUGGAACUGCGAGUGUAGAGGUGAAAUUCGUAGAUAUUCGCAAGAACACCAGUGGCGAAGGCGGCUUACUGGUCCGGUUCUGACGCUGAGGCGCGAAAGCGG